GCGAUCGUACGUCGUGGCGAUAUCUGAGAGAGAGAGAGAGAGAGAGAGAGAGUGAAACUGGGUGGUCAGAGAAGAGUCCAACAGCGAUCAACGUGGGUGGGACGUUCUGAGUGACGUAACAAUGCCGCCCGAUGGGGAGGGGCAGAGCGGGGGCACGAAAGAAAAGGGAUAGUUGUCGGUGGUGGCAUGGGGUUGAUGUAUCUGUUUUGAAUUCAAGGUGAAGGCCGCCCGCUUUCGAAUGGGAUGAUGCGAAAGGAAGUAUUUGUUCAAUUAUCGGUUUAAGUUUGGUAUUGUUUUUCUUUUAACCAAAGGUAGAUUAUUCACCAAAGUCACCAAUGUUAGUCAUGCCAAAGCCGGAAUUAGAUAAACAGAUGAAAAUGCUGGUCACUACCAGCACGUCGCAGUAUAAAAUGACCUACAAUUAGGAUACCCUCUCCGCCCGCCACGAUAAGGGCUGAUUACAAUUUCCAUUUCUCCAAUAUCAACUCCCCGACGACAUGGCGAACAAACAAUGUCCCCGAAAUGCCCCUUCAGCCCGCUCGAUGGGACAAUAAACCCAUAAACUCGUAUGUGGCUAAUCGAUGCAGCGAUACAACGGUAUGGGUGGUAACGCAGGAGGGUAACACGCGGCGUCCUUUGAGCGUCCUUCAGUGCACUGGUCGGCGGGCGUUAUCUUCCCGGUGAGCGGUGGUUUUGCUGUUGCGGCCAUCGUGCGCGAUAAUUUGCACGAAAUUUGCCCCAAAAAACAUUCAAAUCUUUACCCUACCUCCCCCCCCCCCGGCCCUUAUCAACUGCAACUGCGAUAAAGGUAAAGGUCGUUGAUAGCGAAUGUAUAGUUAGUAUGUGUGUUUUGCUGCGUAGCGUUCCUCAUUAUCUUUCGCUCUUUUAAUUGAGUGUUUUUUUUUCGCUCAAAUUAAGCUCAGCAAAACCAAAAGCUCGAUUUGGUACUACCAACGAGUAACGAGUCAUCGCGAUCGUUUAUCUUUCUCACUAUGGUGAGAUCACAAAAUUAGCAAAAGCGCUCACUUGAUCGCUCACACUCAUUCUCUCGCACUCUCUCACGCUCUUUCACUUUCGGUUCGGUUUGAUCGACAAAAAGAUCAUUCGCACACAAACCUGCGUUGAGGAACGUAUUAAGAAAUAACUACUUAUUUUAAGUGUUUUUUUUUCACCAUACACGAUGCACUUUGUAAAAUUAAAACAAACAAAAAAAUGCCUUCUAAACCAGUCAGUUAUGCUUUUUUCAGCCCACACAACUACGAAGCCAUCGAUCAAGCAGCAGCAGCAUCAUGUCGACGGGAUACAAGGAGGGUUUGGGUGCGGAGGACGGCGAGCGGAAAAGAAAAGAAAUACAAAUCCGACAACAACAAACCACCACCACCGCCAUCACCAACCGGCCGUGCCACGCACGCGUCCCCGCUGAAUAUCACGAUCACGGUCACGGCCACGGCCACAAAACGGCACUCGGGAUCGCUUGCGUUCUCGCUCGCUCGCCCGUACGCUCGCUCGCUCGCUCACUUGCGCGCCCACAGCCGGCCACUCUCUCCCGCAAGCGCGCUGAGAAGCUGCGUUGGUGUUGCGUACCGCAGUGAGUUAUGAAACGAGUUUGGCGAUGACGUAAAUUGGGGGACAUUUUUGAUUGGCGUUGGCAUUAUUUGUGGCGCAUCUCUAAACCUUCCCUAAACUACCUUACCCAUCAUCAUCUCAGCACCGAUGCAAUCCAUCCUGUAACAGACCGAUCAUCGAUCCGGUGGUUAGAGUAUCCCGAUCGCAAACGGCCCGUCCCGACGCAACGGCAGUAUCCUGUUCAAACACGUUCGGGACGCCGCAGCUCUAGCGGUGUCGUGUUAGUGCACAAUUAGAUUAGCCUUCUUACUAACGCGCGUCUAAAUACACCUGCAGCGCUUUGCUGUUGUAUCAACAGCAGCACCAACCAAAACGCACAAGACUGCGAGAUGCGUGCGAGCAGCUGGGACUAUCCCGUUUCACUGUGUGGCGCAGGUGGCCCCACCAGGGCAGAACUGUUGCUCGAGCGGCGGCAGCUGUACAACACGGGAGCGCGCUUACGCCCCGCUUAUCAGCGCGACGUUAUUUAACGAACUAAUUCGGCCACUGCCGAAAGAAGAGGGCAAAAAAAAAAAACGGAGCGGCGCGAUGUCGCGGGUGUAGCUGCGUCUUGGACGUACUUCGCGGACACGUCCUUCGUUUUCCCUCCUUCCUCCCAAGGGCAUCGCAAAAAACACCUGCCCGGGGGUCUACCUGUUAGGGUGUUGGUGGUUCAUGAUUUGGUGAUCUUUAAAUUCGAUCCCGAAACGGUUCUCUCCCUCUCUCUCUCUCUCUCUCUCUCUCUUUCCGCGAGUUUCUCUCUUGCUCUGGAGGGGAUGAUAAAAUUCGAAACAUAGCCUCCACUCACCACCCUCUCCCCUUCCUCCAAAUGUCAAACAAAGGUGCUGGUAAUCGGAGGAGCGUUUGGUGCUGCAAGCUUUUUGCACACAACUGACCGGUACACAUUGUAUGCGGGGCUUAAAGCGUACUACGCACUAUGGGACAGAUGCGCAAUGAGUGAUGACAAAUGGUGCAUUUGCGUUUUACACUUUGCUUACCACAGGUGGCUGCGUUGCACAUGGUUGUGUUUGUUGAGUUGAACCAAUACUGGUAAAAUACUUCAAAUGGGGUUUCUCUAAAUAUGCGUAAAAUGUUUCAAUGUUCAACAGCGUAAUUUAUUUCGCUUUAUUUCCACUGCACUUCAUUUAUUAAAGUAUUUAUGUAAAAGGAACCUUCUUUCCUUUUUUUUCCUGUUUUUUCACAACCUGUGAUUGCGGUGAUAACUUAUCAUUUUAACGAUUAUAGCACAGCCGACGCACACUUCUGAACGGUUCGGCGAAAAGUGUGAUCAAAGCAUAGCUACCCCUACUAAUAAAUGUUAGGCAAAAUGGUUGAUUACUGGUGUAGAAAUACUUUUGCGGCUGCAGUAUUGCUGCAGUUCGAUUGGCCGUUUUCGUUUUGCUGUGUGUACGCUUUUCUGUUCAAAAACAAACAAACAAAGUCCGUGUUUUGCUACACAACAAACAAACAACAGUGUGGUGGGGUUGCUCUGAAAUUGGUUUCAGUAAAUAAAUACGUGCUGUAUUUAAUCGGUUGUUGUUUCAUUUUAAUAUUCAACAAUUUCGUCGCAAACUCAAGACCCUUUGAAAGUAUUUUUGCCUGUCUUUUAUGUGCGAUAAGGUGCAGGUUGAAAGAAGUAAGCCCACUUUUAACACAUUGUUUGGAAAUUCGAAAAAGUGUAUAUGUAAAUAUGUAAUUUUAAUUAGUCUCAUUUAUAGAAAUUGCACCAGCACGAUUGUUAGCAAUUAGUCAUGUUUGAGUACGCUGUAACAAGGUGUGAACCCCACCGUAACAUACUAUGGUUAAUUACACAUUAACUCAUCGACCAAUAUUACUUUUUUCCUCUAAUAAAGUUGUAAUUGAGUGAAAUGCGAAACAACCACACGGUUGCCAUGACGAAAUGGUCACACUGGAGCAGUAAGCUAGCGUUCCCACUUGUUCAUAGAAUUGUCCCACCGUGCGUAGUGAUGCGUACCGAAUGAGAUUUGUAGGCGCAUAAACGACAGCAAAUAAAAGGCGAAAAAGAGAACAAACACAGAGACGGGGAGAAAAAGAAAGAAAGAGAGAGAGAGAGAGAGAGAGAGAACGAGAGAAGUGGAGCGGAAUCAAAACAAUUAUUAGAUUGCGGUACACUAUCUAUCAGCUGACCGAGUCGCUCGUGUGACGUUCGAAAGGUGCCUUAUCAUUUCAUUGCCACGAACGGUGCUCUUGAAAUUUUAAACUGUAACCGACGAAGCAACUUCGGAUUCUUUCGGAAUAAUCUGCACUAUCUUACAAUCGUUUGUGUUUUCCUUUUUCUGUUUGAAAUAUACAACGUCAAUGUUUGUACUUCUUUGCAUCAACACUA